UGGGGAAUUUUGCACAAUGGGGGAAACCCUGAUGCAGCGACGCCGCGUGAUUUAGAAGGCCUUCGGGUUGUAAAAAUCUUUUCUAUGGGAAGAAAAUGACAGUACCAUAGGAAUAAGGACCGGCUAAUUACGUGCCAGCAGCCGCGGUAAUACGUAAGGUCCGAGCGUUGUCCGGAAUCAUUGGGCGUAAAGGGUACGUAGGCGGGUAAGCAAGUUAGAAGUGAAAUCCUAUAGCUCAACUAUAGUAAGCUUUUAAAACUGCUCAUCUUGAGGUAUGGAAGGGAAAGUGGAAGUCCUAGUGUAGCGGUGAAGUGCGCAGAUAUUAGGAGGAAGACCGGUGGCGAAGGCGACUUUCUGGCCAUAACCUGACGCUGAGGUACGAAAGCGUGGGUAGCAAACAGG
rnacentral:rRNA from 1 species